rnacentral:rRNA from 1 species
AAUACGGAGGGUGCAAGCGUUGCUCGGAAUCACUGGGCGUAAAGCGACCGCAGGCGGUCUGACAAGUCGGAUGUGAAAGCCCUGGGCUCAACUCAGGAAUUGCAUUCGAAACUGGCAGACUCGAGUACGGGAGAGGGGGGUGGAAUUCCUGGUGUAGGGGUGAAAUUCGUUGAUAUCAGGAGGAACACCGGCGGCGAAGGCGGCCCCCUGGCCCGCGACUGACGCUCAUGGUCGAAAGCGUGGGGAGCAAACAG